CCUCAGUGGAGCAGGAAGACAUGUCUCCUAAGCUGAGUGAUGAGGUGGACUCCACCCAGUUUAAACCUCCAGACACAGCUCCAGCCUCACAGCCUCCUGCAGCCACAGUGGAGCCUCCUCCAUCAGCUGCUCCAUCAACUGCUCAUCAGCACCUCCAUCACCUGCUGCUUCAUCAUCUUCUUCAAGCACGGAGCGUUGUGGCCGGCCUCAGAUGGAGAAACCCCGCCGCUCUAGUGUGGACAAGGAGAUGAAACAGAGUCCAGACCGGGCUGGCAAGUCUCCUCCACCUCCUCCUCCACGGAGGUUCCAUGCUGUCAGUUCAGGUGUUAGCACCGGAAGGUCAGGAGAUGCAGUCUUGACAAUCAGAAAGGAGCCUGUUGGAGCACAGGAUGAUGAUGACAAAGAGAAAGAGCCUAUGGUUCCUCAGCCCAAACCCCCUAGACAGCCACCAGAGGUCAAACCCAAACCCCAGAUGUGUGCUCCUGCACCUCUGCCUGGGUCUUCCUCCACCCCCGCCACAGCUCCAGCGUACAGGGAGGAUAAAGAGGAAGAGGAGGAAGAGGACAACAAAUUCAUGAAGGAGCUCCAGGUGACCCCAGAGCUAUCAAAUAAGAAUCAUUCAUCAGAGGGAAAUAAGCAAAAUCUAAAGGUAGAGACAAGGACAUCGUCAAACUCACAGGUGGCCAAUCAGAGGCCUUCUGAGUUAUCAUGUGGACCAGAAAUCUGCUCACAGCUGAGAAUUAAUGGCUGUGCUCCUAAAGUCAGAAAUGCAGCUGGACUGGAAGAACCCAGUAAAAGUGGGAGAAGCCUUAUCAGAAGAAGGAAGUGGAGAAGAGGGUUAAACCAAUGCCUUCUCUUGACUGUGCACCAGCAGAGAAGGUGGAGGUGCCUACACUUCAAACACAAAACAAAGUGGAGGCCGGGUAGGUAA
rnacentral:lncRNA from 1 species